rnacentral:rRNA from 1 species
AGGGCGCACGGUGGAUGCCUUGGCACUAGAAGCCGAUGAAGGACGUGACUAACGACGAAAUGCUUUGGGGAGCUGUAAGUGAGCAAUGAUCCAGAGAUGUCCGAAUGGGGGAACCCGGCAGGUAAUGCCUGUCACUCAUUACUGUUAAGGUAAUGUAGAGGAAGACGCAGUGAACUGAAACAUCUAAGUAGCUGCAGGAAGAGAAAGCAAAAGCGAUUGCCUUAGUAGCGGCGAGCGAAACGGCAAGAGGGCAAACCGAAGAGUUUACUCUUCGGGGUUGUAGGACUGCAACGUGGACUUAAAGAUUAUAGAAGAACUACCUGGGAAGGUAGGCCAAAGAGAGUAAUAGCCUCGUAUUCGAAAUAGUCUUUAUACCUAGCAGUAUCCUGAGUACGGCGAGACACGAGAAAUCUCGUCGGAAUCUGGGAGGACCAUCUCCCAACCCUAAAUACUCUCUAGUGACCGAUAGUGAACCAGUACCGUGAGGGAAAGGUGAAAAGCACCCCGGGAGGGGAGUGAAAUAGAACCUGAAACCGUGUGCCUACAACAAGUUCGAGCCCGUUAAUGGGUGAGAGCGUGCCUUUUGUAGAAUGAACCGGCGAGUUACGAUAUGAUGCGAGGUUAAGUUGAAGAGACGGAGCCGUAGGGAAACCGAGUCUUAAUAGGGCGCAUUAGUAUCAUGUCGUAGACCCGAAACCAUGUGACCUACCCAUGAGCAGGUUGAAGGUGAGGUAAAACUCACUGGAGGACCGAACCAGGGCACGUUGAAAAGUGCUUGGAUGACUUGUGGGUAGCGGAGAAAUUCCAAACGAACUUGGAGAUAGCUGGUUCUCUCCGAAAUAGCUUUAGGGCUAGCGUCGAUGUUAAGUCUCUUGGAGGUAGAGCACUGUUUGGGUGAGGGGUCCAUCCCGGAUUACCAAUCUCAGAUAAACUCCGAAUGCCAACGAGAUAUAAUCGGCAGUCAGACUGCGAGUGCUAAGAUCCGUAGUCGAAAGGGAAACAGCCCAGACCACCAGCUAAGGUCCCAAAAUAUAUGUUAAGUGGAAAAGGAUGUGGGGUUGCACAGACAACUAGGAUGUUAGCUUAGAAGCAGCUAUUCAUUCAAAGAGUGCGUAAUAGCUCACUAGUCGAGUGACCCUGCGCCGAAAAUGUACCGGGGCUAAAACAUAUUACCGAAGCUGUGGAUACCUUUAUAGGUAUGGUAGGAGAGCGUUCUAUGUGCGAAGAAGGUGUACCGUGAGGAGUGCUGGAGCGCAUAGAAGUGAGAAUGCCGGUAUGAGUAGCGAAAGACAGGUGAGAAUCCUGUCCACCGUAAGACUAAGGUUUCCAGGGGAAGGCUCGUCCGCCCUGGGUUAGUCGGGACCUAAGGAGAGACCGAAAGGUGUAUCCGAUGGACAACAGGUUGAUAUUCCUGUACUAGAGUAUAUAGUGAUGGAGGGACGCAGUAGGCUAACUAAACCAGACGAUUGGAAGUGUCUGGCCAAGCAGUGAGGUGUGAUAUGAGUCAAAUGCUUAUAUCUAUAACAUUGAGCUGUGAUGGGGAGCGAAGUUUAGUAGCGAAGUUAGUGAUGUCACACUGCCGAGAAAAGCUUCUAGCGUUAAUUAUACUCUACCCGUACCGCAAACCGACACAGGUAGUCGAGGCGAGUAGCCUCAGGUGAGCGAGAGAACUCUCGUUAAGGAACUCGGCAAAAUGGCCCCGUAACUUCGGGAGAAGGGGCGCUGACUUAUGGUCAGCCGCAGUGAAUAGGCCCAAGCAACUGUUUAUCAAAAACACAGCUCUCUGCUAAAUCGUAAGAUGAUGUAUAGGGGGUGACGCCUGCCCGGUGCUGGAAGGUUAAGAGGAGUGCUUAGCAAUAGCGAAGGUAUGAAUUGAAGCCCCAGUAAACGGCGGCCGUAACUAUAACGGUCCUAAGGUAGCGAAAUUCCUUGUCGGGUAAGUUCCGACCCGCACGAAAGGCGUAAUGAUUUGGGCACUGUCUCAACGAGAGACUCGGUGAAAUUUUAGUACCUGUGAAGAUGCAGGUUACCCGCGACAGGACGGAAAGACCCCAUGGAGCUUUACUGCAGUUUGAUAUUGAGUAUCUGUACCACAUGUACAGGAUAGGUAGGAGCCUAUGACCUCGGGACGCCAGUUUCGAGUGAGGCGUUGUUGGGAUACUACCCUUGUGUUAUGGCUACUCUAACCCAGAUAGGUUAUCCCUAUCGGAGACAGUGUCUGAUGGGCAGUUUGACUGGGGCGGUCGCCUCCUAAAAGGUAACGGAGGCGCCCAAAGGUUCCCUCAGAAUGGUUGGAAAUCAUUCGCAGAGUGUAAAGGUAUAAGGGAGCUUGACUGCGAGAGCUACAACUCGAGCAGGGACGAAAGUCGGGCUUAGUGAUCCGGUGGUU